UACGUAGGGGGCAAGCGUUGUCCGGAAUCAUUGGGCGUAAAGCGCGCGUAGGCGGCCCGGUAAGUCCGCUGUGAAAGUCGGGGGCUCAACCCUCGGAUGCCGGUGGAUACUGUCGGGCUUGAGUACGGAAGAGGCGAGUGGAAUUCCUGGUGUAGCGGUGAAAUGCGCAGAUAUCAGGAGGAACACCAAUUGCGAAGGCAGCUCGCUGGGACGUUACUGACGCUGAGGCGCGAAAGCGUAGGGAGCAAACAGG
rnacentral:rRNA from 1 species